AGAGUUUGAUCCUGGCUCAGGACGAACGCUGGCGGCGUGCUUAACACAUGCAAGUCGAACGAACUCUUCGGAGUUAGUGGCGGACGGGUGAGUAACACGUGGGAACGUGCCUUUAGGUUCGGAAUAACUCAGGGAAACUUGUGCUAAUACCGAAUGUGCCCUUCGGGGGAAAGAUUUAUCGCCUUUAGAGCGGCCCGCGUCUGAUUAGCUAGUUGGUGAGGUAAAGGCUCACCAAGGCGACGAUCAGUAGCUGGUCUGAGAGGAUGAUCAGCCACAUUGGGACUGAGACACGGCCCAAACUCCUACGGGAGGCAGCAGUGGGGAAUCUUGCGCAAUGGGCGAAAGCCUGACGCAGCCAUGCCGCGUGAAUAAUGAAGGUCUUAGGAUUGU
rnacentral:rRNA from 1 species